UAAUACGGAGGGUGCAAGCGUUAUUCGGAAUUACUGGGCGUAAAGGGCGCGCAGGCGGCCCCUUAAGUCAGGCGUGAAAGCCCGAGGCUAAACCUCGGAAGUGCGUCUGAAACUAAGGGGCUUGAGUACGGGAGAGGGAAGUGGAAUUCCUGGUGUAGAGGUGAAAUUCGUAGAUAUCAGGAGGAACACCGGUGGCGAAGGCGACUUCCUGGACCGAUACUGACGCUGAGGCGCGAAAGCGUGGGGAGCAAACAGGAUUAGAGACCCUGGUAGUCCACGCCGUAAACGAUGAACACUAGGUGUAGCGGGUAUUGAACCCUGCUGUGCCGCAGCUAACGCAUUAAGUGUUCCGCCUGGGGACUACGGUCGCAAGGCUA
rnacentral:rRNA from 1 species